GACGAACGCUGGCGGCGUGCUUAACACAUGCAAGUCGAACGGAAAGGCCCUGCUUUUGUGGGGUGCUCGAGUGGCGAACGGGUGAGUAACACGUGAGUAACCUGCCCUUGACUUUGGGAUAACUUCAGGAAACUGGGGCUAAUACCGGAUAGGAGCUCCUGCUGCAUGGUGGGGGUUGGAAAGUUUCGGCGGUUGGGGAUGGACUCGCGGCUUAUCAGCUUGUUGGUGGGGUAGUGGCUUACCAAGGCUUUGACGGGUAGCCGGCCUGAGAGGGUGACCGGCCACAUUGGGACUGAGAUAGGGGCCAGACUCCUACGGGAGGCAGCAGUGGGGAAUAUUGCACGAUGGGCGGAAGCCUGAUGCAGCAACGCCGCGUGCGGGAUGACGGCCUUCGGGUUGUAAACCGCUUUCGCCUGUGACGAAGCGUGAGUGACGGUAAUGGGUAAAGAAGCACCGGCUAACUACGUG
rnacentral:rRNA from 1 species